GCCAGGAACAAAUGUACAGAAAUCCUGUGAUUGCUGAGAGAUUUUAAAUUGCUGAAAAUAAACCAUUUGUAGGUUUAGACUUCAUGUCAUCUUUACACUGCUGUGAGGCGACUCAGGAAAUUUGGCAAGUCCACCAACCUUUCUACAAGCACCAUAGAAAGCAUUCUAUCUUAGUGUAUAAUGGCUUGGUACAGCACCUGCUCUGCCCAGGACCGUAAGAAGCUACAGAAAGUUGUGAACACAACCCAGACCAUUACAAAAGCCAACCUCCCAUCCAUGGACUCCAUCUACACUUCCCAUUUCCAUGGAAAGGCCGCCAAUGUCAUCAAAGAGAUCUCCCAUCCUGGUAAUGCUCUCUUCCAACCUCUUUCAUCAGGCACACAGAAGCUUAAACACAUGUACUAACAGGUUCAAGAACAGCUUCUUCCCUGCUGCUAUUGGACUGCUGAAUGGACUCUGUAAUUUCAAUUGUAAUGUUGAUCUCGCUUUUGUACACCUCCUGUCCAGACAUAACCUUGUAUAUCUUGCUCUGCCUAAGCACCCUAUGAUCUGUAUGUCCUUGUUUGCUGUGAUUUGCUUGUACUGCUCGCAAAACAAAACUUUUCACUGUACUCAGGUAAUUGUGACAACAAUAAAUCAAAUCAAAUCAAAUCAAAUAAAUGUUCAGCUAA